CAAGCGUGAUGUCAGCAGGGCGGUUAUUGGGAGAUCAUACCGUUUCCAACGCGCCAGACAUCCCUGUGUGAAGGCUGUCAUAUUCACCACAGCUCAGGGGCAGAUUUGUGUGGAUCCCAAAGCUCCAUGGGUCCAAACAUUAAUUCCCAGUCGGACAAAGUAGAUAUGAAACAUCACUGGAGUCUGAGGAAACGCCCUCCUGCUGCUGAUGGAGGAGCAAUAUUUACUCAUCUAAUGUAUUAACCGUCCUACCACUGUGCUUACUACUGAGCUCGAGUUUAUAUAUCUGUAAAAAGUGUGUUUAUUAAAGAACAAAUAUAUUUAUC